UGGAAACUAAAGUGGAUUGAUAACUAGGGCGGAUUUGGCCAACUGUGGAUCCUAAAGAAGAAAAUCUAUUUGCAACUGAGAUUGGGGUGGCAACUGAAAUAGGAGGGCAACCAGGAUAGGGAACUAUCUGUUUGGGCAAUUCUGGCUUUGGUUGACUCAUGGAAGAAGGGAGAACUUGGAGCGACUGGGAUGACUUGGGCGAGUGAGA
rnacentral:lncRNA from 1 species